rnacentral:rRNA from 1 species
CCUACGGGAGGCAGCAGUGAGGAAUAUUGGUCAAUGGACGAGAGUCUGAACCAGCCAAGUAGCGUGAAGGAUGACUGCCCUAUGGGUUGUAAACUUCUUUUAUAUGGGAAUAAAACGUUCCACGUGUGGGAUUUUGUAUGUACCAUAUGAAUAAGGAUCGGCUAACUCCGUGCCAGCAGCCGCGGUAAUACGGAGGAUCCGAGCGUUAUCCGGAUUUAUUGGGUUUAAAGGGAGCGUAGGUGGAUUGUUAAGUCAGUUGUGAAAGUUUGCGGCUCAACCGUAAAAUUGCAGUUGAAACUGGCAGUCUAGAGUACAGUAGAGGUGGGCGGAAUUCGUGGUGUAGCGGUGAAAUGCUUAGAUAUAACGAAGAACUCCGAUUGCGAAGGCAGCUCACUGGACUGCAACUGACACUGAGGCUCGAAAGUGUGGGUAUCAAACAGGAUUAGAUACCCUGGUAGUC